UCCUAGGCCCACUCCUUUUUGCAUAUAAUAGGGACUCAAGUAUUAUGAAUCUCCUACCUUCAGGCUGCCUACUGCACAGGACACUCUGACACGCUGGUUGCCUGUAGUGUCCUUCUGCCUAUGACUGGUGCCUAUUUAAGACUGCUGUUAUUCCCUUGUCCUCAACCUAAACUGGCUGGAGACCCAUUUGCCUAGCCCAUAAUAAUAAUAAAAAUCACCUCUCCAAAUGGAAAAUGCUCCACUCCAUCACUAGCCGUUCCUGGGAAGCCUCCAAGUAGUGUGCAGAAAAGAGACCUGGAUGAGCUGCGGGUUCCUGCUGUGCUCAGAUCAUGAUACUGGGAACAACAAAUCAGCCAUGCUUCAGUUUUUCCGAAAGUAUCCAUCUAGACUACAAGAGAAAUAGAACAAGCGGUAAGAUCGCCUAUGUAAUUUAAGGGGAGGUGGAUUGGUGGCCCAGAGUGGGAACAGCUGGAUCACAUGGGGGAAACAUGAGAUGACAUAGAGGGACAUAGAGGAACGACCAGAGAUGACAUAGAUAGUUCAGACUCAUUGUUUCCAGACUUACGUAGGAUGGAUAGAUGAGCUCUGAUGAGAAAGAUUCUUGCCAUUAGAUAGCUUCUGUUUCAAUUCUGGUCUGAUGAUGACACAAAAAUCCUGAUGGAUACUCUUGGUGGCCCCA